AAGCGAUCCCGGAGAAGCUGGCGGGUGCCCCGGGGAGAGUUCUCUUUUCUUUGUGAAGGGCAGGGCGCCCUGGAAUGGGUUCGCCCCGAGAGAGGGGCCCGCGCCCUGGAAAGCGUCGCGGUUCCGGCGGCGUCCGGUGAGCUCUCGCCGGCCCUUGAAAAUCCGGGGGAGAGGGUGUAAAUCUCGCGCCAGGCCGUACCCAUAUCCGCAGCAGGUCUCCAAGGUGAACAGCCUCUGGCAUGUUGGAGCAACGUAGGUAAGGGANGUCGGCAAAUCAGAUCCGUAACUUCGGGACAAGGAUUGGCUCUAAGGGCUGGGUCGNUCGGGCUCUNNUGNUAACNGGGGCUGGGCUCGCGCCGCGGCCGGGGAAGCAGUCUCCCCGCCGCCCUCCCCUCCCUGCCCGCGGGAAGCGCGCCGCCGNNNCCCGGCCCUGCNGGGCCGCGCNNNCGGCGGUNCCGGCGCCCGAGGGGCCAAAACGCCCGCGGCGGACGCGCCGGGGCCACCCAAACCCCGCCUGCCGCCCUCCCCCUCUCCUUCGCGGGGGUGGGGGCGGGCGGUUNCCGGCGGGGCNGGCCCCGCCCACCGUUCCCCGGGCGCCCUCGGCGCGCCGCCCGCCCGANGCCGGGUCCCCGGCCGGUGUCCGCGCCGCGCGGAAGGNGGGCCGGCCCGGAGGGNAACNGNCA
rnacentral:rRNA from 1 species